GCGCAGUAGGCAUCGAGUAAUUCGGCGCUGAAAAGGAAGAAGUAGCAGUGAUACAAACUAAGCAGUACUAGCAAGGGCAGCAGUAGUUUACAUUAAAACAGCGUAUACUUAGUUACUUUGCCCUGGAGCACCGUGACAAAGCGCAGAGUCUGGGACAUGGCGGAUAAAGAGGUGUAUGAUGAUGCAGUGGAGGAAAGGGUCAUCAAUGAGGAGUACAAGAUUUGGAAGAAAAACACACCUUUCCUGUACGACCUGGUGAUGACUCAUGCUCUGGAGUGGCCGAGCCUUACUGUGCAGUGGCUUCCAGAUGUCACCAGGCCAGAGGGGAAGGACUACACCGUUCACAGACUGGUUUUGGGGACCCACACGUCAGAUGAGCAGAACCACCUUGUGAUUGCCAGCGUCCAGGUACCAAAUGAUGACGCGCAGUUCGACGCCUCGCACUAUGAUAGCGAGAAAGGAGCAGAGUUCGGUGGAUUCGGUUCAGUAAGUGGGAAAAUCGAGAUCGAGAUCAAGAUCAACCAUGAAGGAGAGGUGAACCGAGCCCGCUACAUGCCCCAGAAUCACUGCAUCAUCGCCACCAAGACGCCCACCUCUGACGUGCUGGUGUUCGACUACAAUAAGCACCCGUCUAAGCCAGAUCCCAGUGGGGAGUGUAGUCCUGACUUGCGGCUGAAAGGCCACCAGAAAGAAGGGUACGGCCUCUCCUGGAAUCCCAACCUCAGCGGCAACCUGCUCAGUGCCUCCGAUGACCACACCAUCUGUCUAUGGGACAUCGGGGCCGGCCCAAAGGAAGGGAAGAUUGUGGAUGCUAAGACCAUCUUCACCGGCCACACAGCAGUGGUGGAAGACGUUUCCUGGCAUUUGCUCCACGAAUCCUUGUUUGGCUCGGUGGCUGACGACCAGAAGCUCAUGAUAUGGGACACUCGGUCCAACAACACAUCCAAAGCCAGCCACGCAGUGGAUGCUCACACUGCUGAGGUCAACUGUCUCAGUUUCAACCCCUACAGCGAGUUCAUCCUUGCCACUGGUUCUGCUGAUAAGACUGUUGCAUUGUGGGAUCUAAGGAACCUCAAACUGAAGCUCCACUCCUUUGAGUCCCACAAAGAUGAAAUUUUCCAGGUACAGUGGUCUCCUCACAAUGAGACCAUCCUGGCCUCCAGCGGCACUGACCGACGUCUCAACGUCUGGGAUCUCAGUAAAAUCGGUGAGGAGCAGUCAGCAGAAGAUGCUGAGGAUGGGCCCCCGGAGCUGCUGUUCAUCCACGGUGGCCACACAGCCAAGAUCUCUGACUUCUCCUGGAACCCCAAUGAACCCUGGGUCAUCUGCUCAGUGUCCGAGGACAACAUCAUGCAAGUCUGGCAGAUGGUGAAUACAGUUUUUCUUUUUGGGAUAGUCAGAAUAUGAUAGCUGCAGUCCCUCCCCACAAACCGUAUGAAACCUGGAGAACAUCCGACCUCAGUCAAAGUGAAUGGAUGAUCCUGUUGAGCUACUUCCUGGUUAAAUUGGCAGAUGUCUGUGGUCUACAGAUGUAUACCUACUUCUUUCUUUCCUGUAGUCAUUUUUGGGCGGUAUUAUUGGCAUCUUAGUUUCCUGACGAACAAUAAUAUGUUGUUGAUGACAUCCUGCCCUUGGGCGGAGAACAUCUACAAUGACGAGGAGCCAGACAACACCCCCGCAUCCGAGCUGGAGGCUCAGGGAUCAUAACCCCGCUGUGCAUGAGUCUCUGUGCAGGCACAACCCCCUCCUCCACUCCCUGAGCUCCAGCCCAGCCUGUCGUUUCCCUCUCUGGCUUACCUCGAGUGCAAAAUGAAAAGUGUGCCCUCCACGUGAAUGUGGAGGGUUGGACACAGCAUGGACAACAACCAUGCUAACAGACAGUAGGAUUCAGUCUCAUCCUGCUUCCACUUCAACAUGGCCCAGGUACCCAAAAGCACUUAAGCACUUGGAAUAGGAGAAGAGUUGACAUUGUUACGUGCUCAGGUGGUAGUAUCUCCAGUGUUGGGGGGGACCUUAUGUGCACAAGGUCCACUGUAAGUUAUUCAGACCAGUUCAUUUUAAAGGGCUCAUGCAUGGAAAAUAUUAAAGUGUUAUUUUACAUUUGGACUUCUGAGUAGCCAGAAAAGCACUAGAAUAGUAGGCGUCCCUAAAGAUGUAAAGGAAACCGAGACAAUAGAAGACUAUCUGAACACUGAAAUGCUUUUGGGAAACCUGAUGUACAUCUGUCCAAACUAUGUGAAACCUAACAAUGGAAAUAUCCAGGAAAACCUUCUUUCAUACCUUAUUUUCUUACUCAUGGCUCUUUUGCAAAAUCUCUUCCUUGGCUGACCUUUGAAGGAACAUUCCCUGCUGUUUGCCUCCUGUCCAUAAGGUACACAAACUCUUCAGUAUUUGGCUUGAUUGAAAGGUGAGGGACUUAAUUAGUGCACUUGAGGGACACGCACAUGUUUUUUCUCUCCUUUGUGUUCUUAGAUAAUGUGAAAUUGUUUUGUUUCCUGCACCACAAAUUGCAAUAAAACUUUUAUAACUUUUCAAAACUAAGUUUCGCAUUUAUGUAAAUCUGAACAUUUUCUGUGACCAAGGACAGGCUCAACAAUCUCAUUAGUACACAUUCUGAGAAACUGCACACAAAUGACAUCUUCCACCCACUUUACUCACACAGAAAAUGACACAAGACCCAAUAAUUACUUGGAGGAAAUAAAUCCAAUUAUUGCAAAUUCUACAAAAUGUUUAUUGAAAAGUAAGACAGGACUAUAAGAACAUUGUACAAUCAAAGAGGGGGGGUGGGCUCAUUAUUUUUUAGUAAAAAAUAAAGCUCUCCGAAGCUAUGGUGACUCAUGCCUCUUCUUUCACAGUUCGUCUCUCCUGCAGAGGUAGAUUCUGACAUUACCUGAGAGUCAAUCUGGGGCAACGCCAAAGAAAGAAGAAAUAGAUGGUGAAAAGUCUCCCCUCGGCUCGGGCCGUGACUAGAGCUGUCUGAACUACUGAAAGAAAAUCACACACACAAACUGCCUGACCCUAUUCUGUUAUAUCCACACAAUGUGAAGAUCAAUUAGAAGUUUAGAAAGGCCUGGAGUCUUAUGACAUUACAGCCAGUCACACACAGGGUGUACGUAUUUAAUGGAAAUGAUUUGUCAGUACCACCCCUCUGAUUCUCACUGACUUUACAAUAGGGCUGCCACUUGAAGAGCUGGAACAGCUUGAAGCUGCAGCAGCUAACUUUUUAAAAAACUGUCACAUUUCCUGAAACCUUCUCUAUGUACCAGCAGUAGUCCAUUAGACAAAUAAUCUGUAAAAAAUCAAAGGUUCCACUGGCUUGUUCCUAGUGCUCCUAAUGGAAUUAGAAAGAAUCCACUGGGCCUGAAUGAAAACCAACCAGAGACGAGAGAUGGUUGAUCAUUGAGUCUCAUUCUCAGCGUUGAUAUUUGACAACCUGGAAAUCUCAACUCUGAAAAUGCCAUUAGGAGCACUAGGAGGAGCCAGAGGAACCUGAUUGUUUCACACAUUAUCAGUCUCAUCUCAUUUAUUUUUUUUUAGCACUUUAAUAAGCACUUCUCACGCCCACUGCGAAUGAUUUCUGAAAGGAUGCUGAUCUUGGAUCAGUCUUGUAAUUAUACCCUCAAAUAAAAAACCUGGAUCCCAAAUAACGAUGCAGAUGAAGCAAUUACAGGGGGAUAAUAUUGAAAAUUAAGUGCUAUAUUCAAAACAUUAACAGUAGCUGCAGUAUGAGAUAUGGCCCAGGUAAUGGAGCAAGCUGGGUUCAAGAAGCCA